rnacentral:rRNA from 1 species
UACAGAGGUGGCAAGCGUUGUUCGGAAUUACUGGGCGUAAAGGGCGAGUAGGCGGCCAACUAAGUCAGACGUGAAAUCCCCCGGCUUAACCUGGGAACUGCGUCUGAUACUGGAUGGCUAGAGUUUGGGAGAGGGAUGCAGAAUUCCAGGUGUAGCGGUGAAAUGCGUAGAUAUCUGGAGGAAUACCGGUGGCGAAGGCGGCAUCCUGGACCAACACUGACGCUGAAUCGCGAAAGCUAGGGGAGCAAACGGG